ensembl:lncRNA SNHG20 small nucleolar RNA host gene 20
UGUAGUUUUCGCCUGUCCAGGACGCCUUCACCCCUGCUUCCUUUGAGAAAAGUCCCUCUCCCACUCCAAGUGGUACUGACGGGGAUCACCCACACAAAAGAAACCUGGAGGCUCCCCUCCUGGGGCACCCGGCUUCUGCUCCAACCAGGUUUCAACAGAAAAUGAGAAAUAUCCCCCGACGAUUGGCUGAAAACAUGCAGCAACCACUAUUUUCUUCCUGCCCCUCGUUGAUGAGAGCAUUCGAAGUGACCUCAGCAGGGCAUCCAGGUCAGUUUCUGGAAGACUUGUGUGUGUGAUGAAUGAAUAUCUGGUUUUGUCUCUGCUGGGCCUGUGUGCCUGGAAAGGAAUUGUUUUGGCCUAGGAUCAUCCAGAUCAAUUAUGCAGCUACAGCCAAAACCAAGUUCUUUUUAUUGCAAUGGUAAUGAAAGGAGCCCCGUGUAAGUCACUGGAAGGUCACAUGUUCACAGACUGUCAGCUGUGGAGGGUUAUGUAACAGUGGUUAUGCAAUGCCACGUUAGAACUACAGCC